CGGAUUGUAGGCUGCAACCCGCCUGCAUGAAGUUGGAAUUGCUAGUAAUCGCGGAUCAGCAUGCCGCGGUGAAUACGUUCCCGGGGAUUGUACACACCGCCCGUCACACCAUGAGAGUCGGGAACACCCAAAGUCCGUAGUCUAACCGCAAGGAGGACGCGGCCUAAGGUGGGUUCGAUAAUUGGGGUGAAGUCGUAACAAGGUACC
rnacentral:rRNA from 1 species